GGUUAAGUGACUAAGCGUACACGGUGGAUGCCUUGGCAGUCAGAGGCGAUGAAGGACGUAUUAACUUGCGAUAAGCCCAGAUUAGGUAGUAAAAACCACUUGAGUCUGGGAUUUCCGAAUGGGGAAACCCAAUACCAUAAGGUAUUACUGUUGAGUGAAUACAUAGCUCAACAGGGCGAACCGGGGGAACUGAAACAUCUAAGUACCCCG
rnacentral:rRNA from 1 species